UACGUAGGGUGCGAGCGUUGUCCGGAAUUAUUGGGCGUAAAGAGCUUGUAGGCGGUUUGUCGCGUCUGCUGUGAAAAUCCGGGACUCAACCCCGGACCUGCAGUGGGGUACGGGCAGACUAGAGUGUGGUAGGGGAGACUGGAAUUCCUGGUGUAGCGGUGAAAUGCGCAGAUAUCAGGAGGAACACCGAUGGCGAAGGCAGGUCUCUGGGCCACUACUGACGCUGGAGAAGCGGAAAGCAUGGGGAGCGAACAGG
rnacentral:rRNA from 1 species